GACGAACGCUGGCGGCGUGCUUAACACAUGCAAGUCGAACGGAAAGGCCCUGCUUUUGUGGGGUGCUCGAGUGGCGAACGGGUGAGUAACACGUGAGUAACCUGCCCUUGACUUUGGGAUAACUUCAGGAAACUGGGGCUAAUACCGGAUAGGAGCUCCUGCUGCAUGGUGGGGGUUGGAAAGGUUCGGCGGUUGGGGAUGGACUCGCGGCUUAUCAGCUUGUUGGUGGGGUAGUGGCUUACCAAGGCUUUGACGGGUAGCCGGCCUGAGAGGGUGCCCGGCCACAUUGGGACUGGGAUACGGCCCAGACUCCUACGGGAGGCAGCAGUGGGGAAUAUUGCACAAUGGGCGGAAGCCUGAUGCAGCAACGCCGCGUGCGGGAUGACGGCCUUCGGGUUGUAAACCGCUUUCGCCUGUGACGAAGCGUGAGUGACGGUAAUGGGUAAAGAAGCACCGGCUAACUACG
rnacentral:rRNA from 1 species